rnacentral:rRNA from 1 species
GGCUUGUUGAGUUUAAUUUCAAGUUAGGCCUGCCCAAUGAGUUGUUAAAUGGCCGCGGUAUAUUAMCCGUGCAAAGGUAGCAUAAUCAUUAGUUUUUUAAUUGAGAGCUUGUAUGAAAGGUUUGAUGAAAGGAUUUCUGUCUCUGAGAAAAUUUAUUAGAAUUUUAUAUUUAAGUUAAAAAGCUUAGAUUUUCAUUGAAGACGAGAAGACCCUAUAGAGUUUAAUAUUUGUAAAAUAUUUGAAUUAGUGGGUUAAAAUUAUAUUUAUUUUUAUGAAUAUUUUGUUGGGGUGAUGAAAAAAUUAAUUAAACUUUUUUUGUUUAGUUUUAUACUGGUUUGUUAGUAAAUGAUCCUAAAGUUUAGAUUAAAAGUUAAAAUUACCUUAGGGAUAACAGCGUAAUUUUUUUUAGAGUUCUUAUCGAAAGAAAAGAUUGCGACCUCGAUGUUGGAUUAAAAUGAAUUGGCGGUGUAGAAGCUGGAUAAUUUAGGUCUGUUCGACCUUUAAAAUUUUACA